CCUACGGGCGGCAGCAGUGGGGAAUAUUGGACAAUGGGGGCAACCCUGAUCCAGCCAUGCCGCGUGUGUGAAGAAGGCCCUCGGGUUGUAAAGCACUUUCAGUGAGGAAGAACGCCUGGUGGUUAAUACCCAUCAGGAAAGACAUCACUCACAGAAGAAGCACCGGCUAACUCCGUGCCAGCAGCCGCGGUAAUACGGAGGGUGCGAGCGUUAAUCGGAAUUACUGGGCGUAAAGCGCGCGUAGGUGGCUUGAUAAGCCGGUUGUGAAAGCCCCGGGCUCAACCUGGGAACGGCAUCCGGAACUGUCAAGCUAGAGUGCAGGAGAGGAAGGUAGAAUCCCCGGUGUAGCGGUGAAAUGCGUAGAGAUCGGGAGGAAGACCAGUGGCGAAGGCGGCCUUCUGGACUGACACUGACACUGAGGUGCGAAAGCGUGGGUAGCAAACAGGAUUAGAGACCCUGGUAGUC
rnacentral:rRNA from 1 species